CGUAUUGCCUCUAGAAGUUCAAGGGGUUGAAUUCUCAAAUUGCGAGAAUUUUAAACAUUUUUUUGUUAAUUUAAUCUAUAUUUAGUGGAUUAAUUUAUUUUUAAUUUGAUUAGGCUGAUAUAAUACAAUGAAUUUUUAAUUAAUUAAAUGUAUGUUCAUUGAAUUGUGUAUGCACUCUAUAGCUAGAUUCUUAAUUUAUAGAGAUUUUAAUGUAUAUAGUUGUUAAGACCGCGUGUGAUAGUUGUUAACACCGCGUGUGAUACAACCUUUAAUCAAGUUGGAACUAUCUUGGCUUGUUCCUGCGAUCUACUUCAAAUAAAUGCAUGUGAUUAAAUUAACAUAUGUUGCUAUUCAAUCAAAGUUUUAACUAUAAUAAAGCAAACUUUGCAUAUGGAUUUAUUGAAAAAUUAAACUUUACUUUAGCAAAAUCUUGACAAAUGAAGCAUGAAUUUCCAAUUGUGAAUUUGCAACCAAUUUCAUUCCAUGACACAUCUAACGCUAUGUCAACAAUUUUGGCUAUCCAUCUUCGCUUCAGUCGGCCGCCAUUUUGAAAUUGACCAUAAAUGUUCCCUUUUAAUUUUUUGAACAACACCUGUCACUAUCAUAAUUCACGAGUGAGCAUAUAACUUUAAAAAUUCACAAAAGCUAACAGCUACAUCCCAAUCAAAAGGAAAGUCCAAAAGACUAAGAACAUGUCAAUAAACUCUCAUUGUCAUGAAGCUUCCUCUCUAAUUUGUCUCAUUUACAUACUUGUUUAAUAAUUAAGAUAAUUAAGACCUUUCUCCUGAUAAACAAACUAAUUACAUUUCACUAACGUGUAUAUAAAGAGCAUGGCUUAAAGAGUUCAUAACAUCAUUACUUAAAAAUGAAUGCCAAUUCAGUUUUUCUCAUUUUCUUCUUGAUUCAUGGGCUGCUUCUUUCACAUAAUACUUACAUGAUCAAAGCCACUGGAAUUGUUUCCAAGUCGUCUUUGAAUGAAAUAUCUUCACAAGUUAUUAAUUUUCAUAAGUUGAAGAUGGUGUCACAUAGGUCGCUAAGAGUACGAAAUAUACGACCAUCUCCACCGAUGAAAAAUAAUCCUCCUCACUGGUAUCGUACUCCUCCGCCAGCAAAGCGAUCACCACCACCACGACGGCGAUCACCACCACCACGACGGCCACCGGCACCGCCUCCACCACUGAAUUCAUAUUAGUAUCUCCAACUCUAUAACCAUAAGACAUUAGCAUGCAAAUUGCUUCGAUGGUUUGUCUUCCGAUAUUUUUUUUAAUUAUGUAUGAUGUGUAAAUUUUCGUUAUAAUGAAAUAUUGUAAAUUACUGCCUGAAAUAUCUAUUAUUACGAGGCCAACUCUCUUUAAAGAUCUUGGGGGUUCUCCUAGUUAUAUAGAUUCUUGUAUUUUGUUUAUGUCUUGGCUUUGGUUAUUUGCCUUCCGUAUCUUCAGCACUACAUAAGUUUUUCCGAGGAGAUUGUGCUCUCUCUUUUCCUUUUUUGCCGCCUCUUUAGUUUUUUUCUCUAUAAAUUUCCAAGCCUAGUAUUAAAAAAAGGGGUAAGAUGUGCCUGACUACUUGAUUGAAAUAAAUGAUUUUUCUAAAUUUAUUUGCAGAACAAAAUUGAAACUAUGGUUAGAAGCUAUAAUAAAGUCAUAAUGAUCAGCAUAUCAAAAUUAAUGUAAAGCUUGUAAUAUAUUCCAAUAGUUGACCAAUUAGAAGACUUAAGAAAAGUCACAUAUCGUAGAUCUACAUCUACUUGAAGUAUUUUGCAACUAAUAUGAUUGUCUAGCAAGUGAAUGAUCAAGGGAGACGAUCGUGGGUAAUUCUACUGUUUUUUUUUUUUUUUGUGCGGAUCAUCAACAAGUUGUUAAUGGAAAUCUUGGGCCUACAUUUUUAAUUAAUGGAAAACUAUCAAUCGUAUACCCUUAGUUUAUUCCGUUAACAAAUUUACUACAACACUUUCAGGGUAUAUCAGUGGUCCACCCUAAGUUAGACAAAAUAUAUUUGUUGUCCACCAAACCGUUAGCUGCCGUUUAAAUAUGAUGACAUCAUAGGGUAAUUUGGUCUUUUCAUAUGAUACAAGUGAUAAUUUUAAGGUCUGUAAGUGAUAACUUUCAAGGGUAAAAUCAUUAAUUCGUUAUAGUUCCGUUAACUUUCAAACGGCAGCUAACAGUUUAGUGGUCGGCAUAUAACUUUUGUUAAUUUAGGGUGGACGAUUGAUACACCCUUAAAGUGUUGUAGUAUUUUUUACAAAAACGUAAAUUUAGGGUAUAUAAAUAAUAAUUUCCCUUAAUUAAUUAUACAAAUGAUAAUUUCCCUUAAUUAAUUAAUAUAUACUUUAGUAAGUAGCUUUUUGCUCAUAAUAAAAUGAUACACCAAGGUGAAGCUAAAUGACUUUAACAGCCAUCUUUAAUGCUGCUUACAGUUCGUUUGAUAUAGCUCUCAAAUAAUUGUUGCUUACGGUUAAGAUAGUUUUAUCCUCAUAAUUUUUUGUUGAAAGUUAUAUAAUGCUGAAAAUGAGGAGAUCAUACCCGAAAUGAUUUCGGGAGGUGAUUUUAUCUCUUGCAAUUGCUUAUGGUUAAGGUGAUUUUAUCCUCAUAAUUUUUUGUUGAAAGUUACGCAAAUAUUGUUAUCAUGUUGAGUAUUAAAUUGUAUGGGGGUAUGUUUGAGAACUUAAAUUUAUAUGACUCAUUUAGACUUUAGACUAUAAAAUAAAGUUUUUUUUUUUUUGGUUAAGAUGAAAUGUAAAUAAAUAGUA
rnacentral:lncRNA from 1 species